GGGAAGUUGGCUCAGUGGUAGAGCACUUGCCUUGUAUGCAUGAAGCCCUGGGUUUGAUUCCUCA
rnacentral:tRNA from 1 species